GAGUGUGAUCAUACUAGCACCAAUGCACCGGAUCUCAUUAGAACUCUAUAGUUAAGCGUGCUUAGGCGAGAGUAGUACUAGGAUGGGUGACUUACUUGGAAGUCCUCGUGUUGCACCGC
rnacentral:rRNA from 1 species